CUUGUUGAUCUAAUGGGCUUGUCAUUUUUAGUGAUGUAUCCAUCUGCCCAAAGAUAAGCAUUAUUUGCCUAUUAUGUAGUUAGAAAUAGAAUAGAAUGCACACAAAAAUUGCACUGAGCUUAAACACUAAAAUGAAGGGGAUUUUCCUUCUCCUAAGUGCAGAUUUAACACAAUAAAUUAGUUUGGAACUACUUUAGUUUCCUAAGCAAAAUCAAUCCUCUGAUAUUUAUCAGGCUGGCAGUGUUGCAGUCCUCUAUUUACUUAAAAUACUGAACAUUUGAACUGCUGAUGUACAGCAACGACACCAGCAGAUUACAAGGGGUUUGCAAGCAUUGGGCAGUGUGUAGCAGGAGGAAGGCAGAACUCACUGCUGCUGCCUGGGUGGUCGUUCUGCCCAAAUCUCAGAGUAUCACGUUUGGCACAAACUGGAAGCGGGCUCAGAAAGGCCUAAAACAACCACAAGUAAGAGAGGCUUUCCUUAUGUCCACAAUAUCCUUCAGCUUCAGAAACUCAUGGAUUACUUUACUGCUGGUAAUACCGUACCAAAGCCUUCGCAGCCAUGGCAUCGUUGUAAUGAUAUUCCUUCCCAGAACCACACGGCUCCUGCUCUGCUGUGCAGAAGUGCACCUCAGUCUCCAUACCUAACAAAUUGAAGGCUCUUCUUGUUUCACAGAGCAUCAGUCGACGUCCUGCCCUCGCUCUCUAAAUUUCUCCCAAGCCUUGCAAGCACCAGAAGUACGAGCGCCAGAUCCUCUCAUCUCCUUCCCUCCCUUGACCUCACCUCUGUGUCCCACACCUCUCCAGGCAGCCCAUGCACGCUCCUGAGGAAGAAUGUGGCCAAUAUACUGCCAAGUGCUGCUAAAUGGAAGAAGGCAGAGGAUAACAAAAAAUCAAAAAGACUGGAGGAAGAUUUCUUCCUGAUGCUGUAAUCUCAUGCUGCUGUUUAUCUCCACCUGUGACUUUGCUUAUUCCUUCGUCCCUCUAUAAAUCACUGCAGCUGGUGGUGCAUUCACCCAACCUUUCUGCCAGGAUGGUGUCAAACCUCUUCCCAUCAGACACCUGAACUGGUCAAUUCCUACCGCUAAACACCACUAUUUUGAAGAAGGAAAACUGAAGUGAAAGCAAAUUUCAAAGGUACUCAAGACUUGUGUGAUACGGCGCUGAGCUCUGUGCUCACACAGAGAGCUGUUGGUUUUAGGCAUGCUAAAUGAAACACAUUUUACAUCUGCAGCAGAGUAAGAAAAAGUCUCGUUUCUUUUGCCUGAACAAAAGGCAAAGCAUAUAGCAGCUGCUGUUCUUGUAGUAAAGAUUUCAAAACUGAAUGGCAGUGCUCUCUCACUCCUAUUCAUUUGACACUCAGCUUUCAGAUUGUGAUGUUCACUGUCAUAUUUAUCACUUAACUAUGAUGGGCUGUUUGGGGUGACAGUUAUGGAUGGAAGCAGCCACAGUUCUCACCACCUUUCCAGAUCCAUUUUAAGUGGUUUCUGCUCCAUCAUCACUAAGAGCUGAUGCUGCUAUUCCCAUAGUUGGGAGAUUAGAAGCAAUGUAUGAAUUCAGGCCUUUCUCCUUCCUGUGGUUGCCCUAUGGUCAGGCAGAGGAGACUUUCUCAACUCUUUCGACCACUGCUGGUGAAAUGAGCCCCACAGUACGUGAUCGAGAGAACUGACUUUGAGCUUUGAUAGUUAUAAAUAGUAGGCACUGUAAUUGUCUAGCAGUUCUCCUGCAAAGAAGAGGUAAUUGUGUGGAUGAAUAAAAUAUUGGCAUUAAAAAAACAUUUUAAGCUUAAUCUCAAAGUAGCUGAUGAAGUAUUUCUAUGGCAGACCUGUCAGCUCACGUGCUCUCAGUGGUAGCUUCUCAUGCUUGGUUGGCUCUUUUGUAAGAAGAGAAAAAGAAUUAAAAAGAAAAAAACAAAAAUGAAACACACCAGAAACACAUGCACAGUACAGAAUGCACACACAACGAAACAGCAAAAUAAUCCUGAAAAUCAAAUGCGUGCAUUUGGAGAGGGCCUUCUGCACUUCUACAUGUUACCUCUCAUGGGGAAGUUCCCAGCCCUGCCACUCAGGCAGACCCAGUGGAGGAGCUUUUCUCUCUGGGUGCCCAUCCCCAGCCUCACUGUACCUGACAACUUCAUGGUUCAGCCUGUUUCUUCUCCAGGGGGCAGAGCCAUGCUGCCUUCCCCUUCUGCAGGGAUGAAGCUUCGGCUGCCAUUACACUGUGCUCUUGGAGAGACCUUCAGCUCAAACUGAUCUACAGCCUACCUGUGGGAUAGUCUUCAGCCUCCAGGCAGAGCAAAGCAGCCAGAGCACACCUGGGAGAGGAAGGAUCCUGAAAACUGCUGCUUAUGGGGUGGCAUCAGAUUACGACCAGUUCCUAGGAUUUGGCUCAGAGAUACAGAGGAAAGCAGGGAGGUGGGCUGGCUCCUCCAUCCUGGACCAAAAGUUUGAUGCAGGGAUUGGGUCUCCUCCCACUGCAUCAAUGCAUAGGAUGAGGGGAGGAGGAAGGAAAAGUGACUGGCAUUUUGAGAUCAUUGAUAACCUUCAUGAGGCAUUAGUUUUAUUUAAUAUAGAGUGUCAUGUUGGGUCCAGUAUUUCAGGGACCGAUUUAAGAUUUAACAGCAAUUCACAAUGCUAACAUCAGCCAAAGCAUUUCUGUUUGGAUUUUAGUUCUCCAGCAGAAGGAUGACAGCACUGAAGAUUAAAGCUUUUUUUUACCCCUCCUUAAGAUCUCAGCAAAGUGCAGAUUUGAAACACAGAAAGAGGUUGACCUUCGUAUUAACCUGAAUCUCUUUUCCUGUUUCUUCUUGAACAUAUUUUAUUCUCUUUAUGCACAGUGGGGCUCUUUUUUUCUUGUGUGAGGCUGUUGAAUGAAAUGCCAGAAAGAUGGAGUGUGCACUUUUACAUCAAAGAAAUGAUGAGACCAUAAAAACUCAUUUCCCUUGUGACUUCUUAAAUUGUUGCUAAGGAAUUCAAUGAGUCUGUUUGAAACAAUGUGUCCCUUUAAAUUCUGUUUUCUUAUUUGUCUUAAAACACAAAGCCACAGUUUCUUGUAGACCCCGAUUCAAAGGCCACUCACUGAAGUCAAUAAAGGUUUCUUAGUCACUGUGUUUAGAUGUAGGUCAGAUUUUUCAAGUAUUCCACUAUGUAGAACCCAGGCAGACUGAUUUCAAAAGUUCUGGCUAUUCACAGAAAGAAAGAAAAAGGUCUAGUUUGUUUUUGUUCAUUCAGGUGGUUAAAAACGUCCCCUUCAAAGGGGCCAGAAUUGAGUCAACUGUCAACUGCUGAGCAGAACAAAUCUGACAGGGGCAAGUAAAGUGAAGCAGUAGUUAAAUUCAGAAAUCCAAAGAAGUAAAAAUGUUGAUUUACUUUAGUUUUUCUCAUGCACAGUGGUGAUGUGCAGUAGAAGCACAAACAAAACCCACAGUUCAGACUGUUGGAGGGAUACCCUGCCUAUUUCUGUGUAACAGUUUUGGGCAAUCACUCUCGCUGCUGGGGUGAAUGGUUUGUUAGUACUAUAACCCAGUGAGUUGCUAGAAAUGGUCUUGAUUGGAGAGCAUUGUAAAGCAAUUAAGUUCUGACUAUUAACAAAGCUCCCACAGAGAGCAUUAAUUUUUGAAAGUAGACAAAGUCUGCGCUACGACUUUCUAGUGACUGUGUGGAAGUGUGACCAGAGUGAAAUAUGGAAACUGCUACAGUAAGUCUCAACUGUUGUAGAUAUUCCUUAUCAGUUUCCAGGAAAAGGUUUUAAAGUUCCAAUUUAGAAAAGCAUUUAAAUGUAUUCUGAAAUUUAUUUCAAUUUAAUUGGAUACAGGUUUAACAAAUUGCUAAGUUUUUGCAUAAUAAGUAGCAAUUUAAGUAUCUUCUUAUAGAGCUGGUUUGGAUUUCAUUUAAAUAUCCUUUUCUCGGAAUUGGAGCCUUAGUCAUCUGAACUGUAAUGGGAUUUUCUGGGUCUAAAAUCCAGAAAAUGCCACUUUGCUCUCAGACCCAAGUCAGUCAUCUUCAUCUAUGAGAUACCCAUAUUGUGUGCACAUGUUCCUUUCCAGAACUCCAGCCGCCUGAGCUCUUUAACUUACUGUUUGUUUCUCUCUGCAAAGGCGUAUGAUAUUUUAAGCAGGUAACUUAACAGUGGUUCAAAAUAGUGAUUUCUUGUGUUAGCCAGUGUAAGAAAAAUCAUAGAAUCAGUCAUAGAGAAAUGCCAUGCUGAAGAUGCUAAAACCCCAGAAUGGAGGUCUCCAUCUCUGAUCGUUCUCAGAGGUUGAAAUUGCAGUUCGUCAUCUUCCUAUCUAUUGUACCCAAUUUCUGGUUGCUCUGCUCUGUUUUAUGCCUUGAAAAGGACAUUUGCUUUAAUGGUCCCAUGCUGGGAUUUCAGAACGAUGGGGAAACAUUGCUACCAGUAAAAUAUGUGGAACUAUUUUCAAAACGUUGGUGUGAGCCAACAGGACCUAUCAAAGCCUUUGCAAAAGCAUAAAACCAACUUCUCAGAUUACAUUGUUUAUAAUUUCUCUUGGGUUAUUUCCCAGUAACACAGAAAACGUGUGACUCUUUUUGUAUCCGAAAGGAGUUUGGCCAGUGCUGAGGUGGGAGCACAGGAUCUUUACCAAACAAGGCUCCGUGUCGUGACGGGCAGUCUUUAGGACUCUGAGUAACUGAAUGCUUGUAGCACUUCACUUUCUGAAGAUAGAUGAAGCGUCUUCUGAAUUACAUGUGGUUUUUUUAUGGUUUGUUGUCUUGUUUUUCUCCUUGUAGUGUAAUUCUGAACCACAUGAUCAAGCCAGGUGUUAUUCCAUGCUACUGCUUCUGAAAAUGCAGAUGCAGCAGAUGCAGGCAUACGGGUUCAGUGAAUCAGGAACAGAUAAGUGUCAACUUUCCUCUGUGGUUGUGGUUGCAAAGACCCUUGUGCUGAACGUUUAUUCUCUAGUGUUUAGAAAGGAACAGUUUGAUUAUAGCAGUACUUUGUUUAAAAAAAUUUCUUGAUAACUACACUGAAAGUGGAUAUUUUCUGCUAUUACUUAAAACUCAGUGUUGGUUGCAAACCCAAAGAAAACAGGUACCCAUGUUCAAUAGCCAUACCUAAUACACUGUUGUGUUAGAUACCACAAUCCUAAUUCCAUAAGAUGGUGUUCUUGGAAACAGCAGAAAAUCAGCAUGGAAUAGAAAAAAUUUCCUCCAGAAGAUGCAGUUUCCAUUGUAAAACCAGUCGUUUGCAUUUUUAACAUCCCACCUUGCUAGUUUUUCUUCUUCUAUUGGGAAGAAGUUCAUAACAAGUUCACUCCUUUUAAUCUAAGGAAAAUGAACAGACCUCCCAGAGUUGAAAACCCGCUGUACAAACAGCAAAAUUAUUCCGACUUCCAGGAGUAAUUUAAUUAGAAGGAUUCUUCAGAGUGGCUUUUUUUUUUUUUUUUUUUUUUUUCAUUAGAAAAUGUGGUGUUUUUCACGCUGUACAGCACAAAACCUUUGGCAUUUUUGUAAAGUGUAAUAAAAUAAUCACUGGGAAUUUCUGGAUCUUUCUCUAUAGGAGUUGCUACCCAUUUUUCUUUUUAAGCUAAUUUAAGGGACAGAGUAGCUCAAUAAUUUGUUUUUCUGCUUAAAAAGGUGACUUUGAAGAAGAGUGACAUGAUAAACCUUCCACGGUGAUUAUGGAAAAUAUUGUUUCUGCUAUUUAUGAAAUACACUGUGAUGCUCUUUUGAUUAAAAAUGAAGAUGAAAAUCUUUCAAAACCUUUGAGACAAAAUUAUUUCAGCAAACAAAGAAUGAGAAGAGUAUCUGGUAGUGGUGUGGACUUCUGCAUGGUCUUGAAUAUGUGCUGCUCUGUGGAAGAACCAUUUCCAGAAGUGGCAUUUGUCCCCACAGACUUUUUAUGUCCAGGUGUUUCACUUAUCUGUAGUUCCACUUAUGUUUUCUUUUCUUUUCUUUCAACUAAUGUCCAGGACAAGUUAAAGUGAAUCCUACAUUCACUGGCUGACUAGGUGCUAAUUGCUAACAUCAGUUCUGAACCUGAGACAGAUAUUAGCUCCAUGUGCAAUUAGCACACUGAUGUACAGAGGAACUGAGAUCCCAAGAUGAAAACCAGAAGAAUGAGGUGCUGUACUGUCAUUUUGGAAGACAGUACCCCAUUUUCACUACUUAUAGUUACAGAACAUCAUUAGUUUUUGAAAAUGAACAGGAAAAUCUGCUAUUAGUGUUCCUUCCUGCUGUUAUGCAGCAUGAGGGGUUCUCAAUGUCUAUGCUUGUACUUUGUUGCUCUUGUUGAAACAUCCCUUUCUUGAAGAGAUCAUUUAGGACUGGGAAGAC
ensembl:lncRNA